rnacentral:rRNA from 1 species
UACGUAGGGGGCAAGCGUUGUCCGGAUUUAUUGGGCGUAAAGAGCGUGUAGGCGGCCAGGCAGGUCCGUUGUGAAAACUCGAGGCUCAACCUCGAGACGCCGAUGGAAACCGUCUGGCUAGAGUCCGGAAGAGGAGAGUGGAAUUCCUGGUGUAGCGGUGAAAUGCGCAGAUAUCAGGAAGAACACCCGUGGCGAAGGCGGCUCUCUAGUACGGUACUGACGCUGAGGCGCGAAAGCGUGGGGAGCGAACAGG